rnacentral:lncRNA from 1 species
CCUGCGCAGGCGCAGACGGCCAGUGCAGGUGGGCUUCGCGGGUCUGGUCUCCCGCGGCGGCGCAGCUCCUGGAUGUCUGACAGUGUAUGCCCUGGGCUGAGGUGGGACACUGGGAAGGAGCGGAAAGGGACAGAGAGCCCGGGAACACAGCACACAAGCUGUCGCCUGAGGGCUGAAGUAGGACGCCCGGGUUCUGAGGGAGUGCCUCUACCUGGGAUCUCCAGUGCAGUACUCAGUAUAUUUUUGGUGAAUGAAUGAAUGAACACUGAGGUAAGUUGGGCAUUAUUAAAAGUAUUAAACGCUUAGAAAUUUAAGCUUCAUUUAUGUCGAUAUAUCUUUUAUCUGAUUGAGAAUGUUAUGAAUCUUUAACAGUGUCUGUAUUUUUUAAACUUUUUGGCAUCCUCAGCUGCCAUUUUGAUCAGCAACAAAUCCAGCCACACACUUCUAAAUAAAAGGAAAUAGGUCUUUAAAACUAGCUUCCUUAUGUUUUUUAAAGGGAAAUAGGGAGGACUGAGAUUGGAAACAUUAAUGCUUUCAGAAAAAACUAUUAAAAGAAGAGAAACCUGACUAAAUUGGAUUCGUUACCGAGAGACUGGAAAUUUUCUUCCCAUUCCCAACAGGCUUUUUAUCUUGCUUUUCCACAUUUCAAAAUGUCAAAUUAACUGCAAAGUUAAUUCCCACUACUAAGGAAGGAAUUCUAAAGGUUUUAAUUAAGGAUUACUGGGCAUUUUAAUUUUAUUAAUCAGAAUGAACUUUUUAAUAAUGAACAAUUAUUUCUUCGCUUCUAUGUAUUUAUGUUCUUAUAGAAUAUUACCAC